rnacentral:lncRNA from 10 species
GCGGCCUCUCGUUCUUAAAGAGAUAGGAAAGAACUGACCUACUUUCUAUGGAGAUUCUUGUAAUAGGUGGGCUCAUUACAUCUGCCUAACCCAGGCUUGGUUCGGUAAAGACACCAUUCCAAGGAGCUCAGCUCACCCCUCUGCCUUGAAUCAUUUUCCCCUAAUCCCAUUUAAAAUGUAAUCAUUCGUUCAUUCCUUCAUUCAGUAGACAUCUAUAGAGCUUGCCUCGUGCUGGGCUCUAGAACACUAUGAGCUCACAGUACGGUGGUGGAGACAAGCCACCACACACGCAGUUCCCACAAGGUGUCCCCAAGAACUUCGGAGCUCAGAACAGGUGAUACUCACUCCUCCUUUGGGGAGAGGCCGUGGGCAUGGCUUCACUUUUCAGCUGGAUUAUAAAGGAUGUGAAGUUAGCCUGACUGAGCAGAAGGGGAGGGAAGACAGCACUCCAGGAAAGUGGAACGAACAACAGAGUCCAAAGGUCAUACAGGUUGAAGGCCCAAUUAAGCCUGUCAUCUACAGUUCCCCGAAGAAUCACGGACAAACCAGCCACAAAGUCCUGGGAAGGAGGCAGGAGGGAGCUGUGUCCUCGGGUACUCUUCACCCAACUCCUUCUCUGGGUUUGGCCUGGAG